rnacentral:rRNA from 1 species
CAUGAGUUUNGNANUGGCUCAGGAUGAACGCUAGCGGGAGGCCUAACACAUGCAAGCCGAGCGGUAGAGAUUCUUCGGAAUCUUGAGAGCGGCGUACGGGUGCGGAACACGUGUGCAACCUGCCUUUAUCUGGGGGAUAGCCUUUCGAAAGGAAGAUUAAUACCCCAUAAUAUAUUGAUUGGCAUCAAUUGAUAUUGAAAACUCCGGUGGAUAGAGAUGGGCACGCGCAAGAUUAGAUAGUUGGUGAGGUAACGGCUCACCAAGUCUACGAUCUUUAGGGGGCCUGAGAGGGUGAUCCCCCACACUGGUACUGAGACACGGACCAGACUCCUACGGGAGGCAGCAGUGAGGAAUAUUGGACAAUGGGUGAGAGCCUGAUCCAGCCAUCCCGCGUGAAGGACGACGGCCCUAUGGGUUGUAAACUUCUUUUGUAUAGGGAUAAACCUUUCCACGUGUGGGAAGCUGAAGGUACUAUACGAAUAAGCACCGGCUAACUCCGUGCCAGCAGCCGCGGUAAUACGGAGGGUGCAAGCGUUAUCCGGAUUUAUUGGGUUUAAAGGGUCCGUAGGCGGAUCUGUAAGUCAGUGGUGAAAUCUCACAGCUUAACUGUGAAACUGCCAUUGAUACUGCAGGUCUUGAGUAAGGUAGAAGUAGCUGGAAUAAGUAGUGUAGCGGUGAAAUGCAUAGAUAUUACUUAGAACACCAAUUGCGAAGGCAGGUUACUAUGUCUUAACUGACGCUGAUGGACGAAAGCGUGGGGAGCGAACAGGAUUAGAUACCCUGGUAGUCCACGCCGUAAACGAUGCUAACUCGUUUUUGGGUUUUCGGAUUCAGAGACUAAGCGAAAGUGAUAAGUUAGCCACCUGGGGAGUACGAACGCAAGUUUGAAACUCAAAGGAAUUGACGGGGGCCCGCACAAGCGGUGGAUUAUGUGGUUUAAUUCGAUGAUACGCGAGGAACCUUACCAAGGCUUAAAUGGGAAAUGACAGGUUUAGAAAUAGACUUUUCUUCGGACAUUUUUCAAGGUGCUGCAUGGUUGUCGUCAGCUCGUGCCGUGAGGUGUUAGGUUAAGUCCUGCAACGAGCGCAACCCCUGUCACUAGUUGCCAUCAUUAAGUUGGGGACUCUAGUGAGACUGCCUACGCAAGUAGAGAGGAAGGUGGGGAUGACGUCAAAUCAUCACGGCCCUUACGCCUUGGGCCACACACGUAAUACAAUGGCCAGUACAGAGGGCAGCUACACGGUGACGUGAUGCAAAUCUCGAAAGCUGGUCUCAGUUCGGAUUGGAGUCUGCAACUCGACUCUAUGAAGCUGGAAUCGCUAGUAAUCGCGCAUCAGCCAUGGCGCGGUGAAUACGUUCCCGGGCCUUGUACACACCGCCCGUCAAGCCAUGGAAGUCUGGGGUACCUGAAGUCGGUGACCGUAAUAGGAGCUGCCUAGGGUAAAACAGGUAACUAGGGCUAAGUCGUAACAGG